CGCGGCAGGAGCCUAUUGGCUGGCGGGGCGGGGCGCGAGAGCCCCGCCCAAGCCCCGCCCCCCGGAGCCGGACCCGCACUACCAGGAGCUGCAGGGCGCGCGCGGGGACCUGUACAGCGAGCUGAAGCGCUGAGCGCCGCCCCGCCGCCAUUAAAGCGCUUUGCCCUCGCCAUGUUUGCCCGUUUUCCCUCGAUUUCGCCCCAAAUCCGCGCCGGUUUUGGUGAUAUUUUUAAUAAAGCUGUCGCGCUGCGUGA